CAGAAGAACUGGGACGAAAUCUUCCCUUUUAUCACCCAGGCAUACAACAUCACGAUUCAAGAAACCACAGGCUACUCUCCAUUUUUCCUGUUGUUUGGGAGGGAGCCCAUGUCCCUCUUAGACGACGUGAAUGUUUCGAUGAACAGUAACAUGGGCGAUUACGACGAAUAUAUAAAAAAUUACUUAGAUAAAAUUGCAAGGACGAGACAAGUAGUCGUUAACAACUCAGAGAAGACCCAAAAGAGAAUGAAAAGAAAUUAUGACAAAAAAACACAAUGAAAGAAUCUAUGAACCAGGACAUUUAGUGGCAGUUUGGACACUAGUUAGAAAAAUCGGAAAAAAAAUGCGAAAAACCUUUGAUAAAAUACUUCGUCCCAUAUCGAAUAUUAAAGAAGCUGACCAACGUGAAUUACUUAAUAGAACCGAAGGAUAAUCCUGACCAAGACCCGUCGAUUGUCCAUGUCUCAAGACUCAAACCCUAUUUUGAAAAAAUUGAUGAGGUCACUCACGAGGACGUGACGACCUCUUGAGAGGGGGAAGUGUGGCAUCAUGAUUAAUGCGCUAUUUUUAAAAUUAUUUAUGAAAUUAUUUUUAAUAUAUUUAAAAUUUAAAUUAUAUAUUCAUAUUAUUUUAUAAAAAUAUUAUUAGUAUAAAAUAUUAUGUACUAUAAAACCUUUGUAUUUUGAUACACUGAAUACACCACCUGCUUUAAACUUUGAUGUGAUAAAUAAAGAGAUAUUCUAGGUGCUACCUAAAAAUAUAUUUGUCUUAUUAUUGACUGGUUUAACCUUGUAGGAUGGUUGAAACCUGUUCUGGAAAGAUGCAAGACGCGUCUGAGGAGAGAAUCAAGACUGAAAGUUCUGCCAAACCGCAGCCUGGUGCAACAGUAUGUACCGUUUAGUUGUUUCCAAGUCAUAUUGGUAUAGUGGCUGGCUAUCUCUAAAGUAACGUUUGACAUGACCUGGACGACCACAAUGAAAGCAUAUUUGCUUUUUGUUUCGAGUCCUCCAUUCAUCAGUUUUUCGUUGUGGUGGCAUUUGGUUACAUGCGGGUGUUUGGGUAGGGUACUGACAUCGUGAAACCUGGUUGAAUGUACGUGUUUGGUUUGGGUACUACUGUCGUGGCGGAGACCUUUAACGGAACGCUUCACAAGAGGACAUCCACGACGUCAAGGAUUCUUCUGACGGGAUGGUUGAAAGCAAGUCCCACUGAUUGUAUUCCUUCUGUUUAGUGAGACAUAAAAAAGCGCUAACUUUAGCUGAAACCCUUCGAACUCACGUGUAUAUCUUUGUGGCAUCCUGAAUAGACAAAGUACACAAAGAGCGUCUGGGUAAGCCAAUGGUAAUUACCACUGUCCCUCUCUGCUAUAAAGCGAAACCACAGCCAAAGGAACGGGCUUGGAAAAAUCAUCAUGGAAAGAAGAUCCUGUUGAGUUUCACUCUAGUAUUGCUCUGCGAAGAGACAUGAGAGGUGUAGUAUUAGAGAUACGGGACGGUGAAAUACCACUACUUUCAUCGUUUCUUUACUGAUUCAGUGAGGCGGAAAGCGGUCUCGGACCGGCAUUCUAAACCAAGUCCCCACUUCUGGUGGGGGCGAUCCGCUCCGAAGACAGUUUCAGGCGAGGAGCUUGGCUGGGGUGGUAAACCUGUCAAAGGGUAACGCAGGUAUCCUAAGGCGAGCUCAGCGAGAACGGAAACCUCUCGUGGAGUGAAAAGGCAAACGUGGCUUGAUCUUGAUUUUCAGUACGAAUACGGACCGCGAAAGCGUGGCCUAUCGAUCUUUUUGAUAUUCGGAGUAUGAAGCAAGAGGUGUCAGAAAAAUUACCAAAGGGAUAACUGGCUGGUGGCGGCCAAGCGUUCAUAUCGACGUCGCUUUUUGAUCCUUCGAUGUCGGCACUUCCUAUUAUUGCGAAGCAGAAUUCGCCAAGCGUUGAAUUGUUCAACCACCAACAGGUAAUGUGAGCUGGGUUUAUUAGACCGUCGUGUGACAGGUUAGUUGGGUUUCCAUAUUCCAUAAGGUAUAGGAUUCCAGAGAAGAUGGCUCAGGGGUAGCUGAAUCCGAAUUUAGUGCGCGAUUAACUUAUUUACGCACGAUGCGUCGGAUUAAGUCCUCCAUUGAUUCAGAGUCUGUUGAAUCGAUGGCGACAACAUUCGGUAGUCUGUCAAAUAAUACACGUUUAUUCACACGUUGUUUAAGUGAAACCUUGAAUUUCCGGCACCAUUUGAUUAACUGCUCGGUAGUUCCAUUGUCUAAAGUUAAGAUUGACCGAUAUAUCUUCUCCGAAAUUCCCUUCGUCAAGUGUGCAACUA
rnacentral:rRNA from 1 species